ACGCUCGACACCUACGGGAGGCAGCAGUGGGGAAUAUUGCACAAUGGGGGGAACCCUGAUGCAGCGACGCCGCGUGAGUGAAGAAGUACUUCGGUAUGUAAAGCUCUAUCAGCAGGGAANAAAAUGACGGUACCUGACUAAGAAGCCCCGGCUAACUACGUGCAAGCAGCCGCGGUAAUCUGAGCGGCUGGCAAGGC
rnacentral:rRNA from 1 species